CGGACGGGUGAGUAAUGUCUGGGAAACCGCCUGAUGGAGGGGGAUAACUACUGGAAACGGUAGCUAAUACCGCAUAAUGUCGCAAGACCAAAGAGGGGGACCUUCGGGCCUCUUGCCAUCGGAUGUGCCCAGAUGGGAUUAGCUAGUAGGUGGGGUAACGGCUCACCUAGGCGACGAUCCCUAGCUGGUCUGAGAGGAUGACCAGCCACACUGGAACUGAGACACGGUCCAG
rnacentral:rRNA from 1 species